AUUGAACGCUGGCGGCAGGCCUAACACAUGCAAGUCGAGCGAGCAGCGGACGGCUGAGUAAUGUCUGGGAAACUGCCUGAUGGAGGCGGAUAACUACUCGAAACGGCAGCUAAUACCGCAUACCAUCAGAUGGGCUCAGAUGGGAGUGGCUAGUAGGUGGGGUAACGGCUCACCUAGGCGGCGAUCCGUAUCUGGUCUGAGAGGAUGACCGGCCACCCUGGAACUGAGGCACGGUCCAGACUCGCACGGGAGGCAGGAAAGGGGAAUAUUGCACAAUGGGCGCAAGCCUGAUGCAGCCAUGCCGCGGGUGUGAGGAAGGCCUUCGGGUGGUAGAGCAGUUUCAGGGGGGAGGCGUUACCCGCAGAAGAAGCACCGGCUACCUCCGUGCCAGCAGCCGCGGUAAUAC
rnacentral:rRNA from 1 species